rnacentral:lncRNA from 1 species
ACUCUGGCUUGAGAUGGGCUGACAAUAGUUGCUCUUAAAGCUUAGGCUCUAAUUUGUUCUUUAAGGAGGUUGAGGAUGAAAGCCUGUUUUUGUUUAGGGUCUUGGCUUACUUUCAUUUUAAACAGAGGGGAAGAAAGGCAGGAGGAACUGGAAUGAGGUCACAGGCAGUAAUUGGUCUAGGAAAUGGCUCCACAGGACCCCUGCGAAAUGGGCCUUCAUUUAUCAGCCUGGGAAAUAGAGGUCAUUGAGAAAUCUGAAAUAUUUUUUAGCAUGGUGCUGGAGGAAGAACCUGACUGGUGGGUGGGGUACAAUCAGGGAUUCCAAACUCUGCCUACAGGGACCAGGCUGGUAACUUAAAUAGGGUGGGAAAAACUUGUGGCUACCUGGAGAGUCUUGGCUGUGUCCCAAAAAGGCACGUAUGUCAGCCCCAGCCAAUUGUUGUCCAGGGUCAUUCAGUG